GGUUUGAUUCUUUCUGAUGCAGACAUAAGCCUGCCCAUUUUUUCUCCAAGUUUGGAGUUUUAGCCAAAACCCCUGACCUAGCUGGCCCUCCCAAUGGACAAUAUUUUGUCCACUAGGAUCGUCACUCCUUUCCCCUUCGGGAGCAAAAUUAAGCGAAAUAGGACCUUUGAGGAAUCGUAGUACGAGCAACAGGAACAAGCGCCGUUGAAGGAACAGGAACAGCAGAAGGCGGAACACUCUUGACUCGACCUCUCUUCUCCGCUGGGGACUUUUCUGCAAUUAAUAGAAAUAAAAAUUUAAAGCUUAUGAUUACAACAAAUUUCCCUAUUAACAUUU